rnacentral:rRNA from 1 species
UACAGAGGGUGCAAGCGUUAAUCGGAAUCACUGGGCUUAAAGCGUUCGUAGGUGGGCUUGCAGGCGCGUUGUGAAAGCCCCCGGCUCAACCGGGGAACUGCUUCGCGAACCGCAAGUCUUGAGUCAAGUAGGGGCGGUCGGAACGAUAGGUGGAGCGGUGAAAUGCGUAGAUAUCUAUCGGAACGCCAAAGGUGAAGACAGGCCGCUGGGCUUGUACUGACGCUGAGGAACGAAAGCGUGGGGAGCAAACGGG